rnacentral:rRNA from 1 species
UUUCGACACACUAUCAUUAACUGAAUCCAUAGGUUAAUGAGGCGAACCGGGGGAACUGAAACAUCUAAGUACCCCGAGGAAAAGAAAUCAACCGAGAUUCCCCCAGUAGCGGCGAGCGAACGGGGAGCAGCCCAGAGCCUGAAUCAGUAUGUGUGUUAGUGGAAGCGUCUGGAAAGGCGCGCGAUACAGGGUGACAGCCCCGUACACAAAAAUGCACAUGCUGUGAGCUCGAUGAGUAGGGCGGGACACGUGGUAUCCUGUCUGAAUAUGGGGGGACCAUCCUCCAAGGCUAAAUACUCCUGACUGACCGAUAGUGAACCAGUACCGUGAGGGAAAGGCGAAAAGAACCCCGGCGAGGGGAGUGAAAAAGAACCUGAAACCGUGUACGUACAAGCAGUGGGAGCACGCUUAGGCGUGUGACUGCGUACCUUUUGUAUAAUGGGUCAGCGACUUAUAUUCUGUAGCAAGGUUAACCGAAUAGGGGAGCCGAAGGGAAACCGAGUCUUAACUGGGCGUUAAGUUGCAGGGUAUAGACCCGAAACCCGGUGAUCUAGCCAUGGGCAGGUUGAAGGUUGGGUAACACUAACUGGAGGACCGAACCGACUAAUGUUGAAAAAUUAGCGGAUGACUUGUGGCUGGGGGUGAAAGGCCAAUCAAACCGGGAGAUAGCUGGUUCUCCCCGAAAGCUAUUUAGGUAGCGCCUCGUGAAUUCAUCUCCGGGGGUAGAGCACUGUUUCGGCAAGGGGGUCAUCCCGACUUACCAACCCGAUGCAAACUGCGAAUACCGGAGAAUGUUAUCACGGGAGACACACGGCGGGUGCUAACGUCCGUCGUGAAGAGGGAAACAACCCAGACCGCCAGCUAAGGUCCCAAAGUCAUGGUUAAGUGGGAAACGAUGUGGGAAGGCCCAGACAGCCAGGAUGUUGGCUUAGAAGCAGCCAUCAUUUAAAGAAAGCGUAAUAGCUCACUGGUCGAGUCGGCCUGCGCGGAAGAUGUAACGGGGCUAAACCAUGCAC